AGGGCCCGCUCCGCCGCCGCAGGUGCGGAGGGGCUGGGCCAGAAGACGCCGAGGCCCGGCCGUGCUGCGCAGCUCUUUGGAGGCUCCUCGCAGCUCCGUACAGCAGGCGCCGGGCGGCGUCCCGGGAGCGGCGCGCCCGGGAGGGAUCCCCGCGCAGAGCCGCCCCUGCCCGCUCCCUUGGCAGCUCCUUGGAGGCUUCCGCCCUCCCGCCUCGGCGCUGCGCUACCGGCGCAGUCCCGGGCCGGGCCGGCGCCCGCUGUCGGGCGAGGCGCUUUAGGGCGGGGCGGCGGGACCGGGGCGCAUCCUCUCGGGCUGCCCGGGCCGGGCUGACAGCGCGGCCGCGCCGGCCCCGUGCCGCACUGCGCCCCGCCGGCCGCGCGGAGGCGCCCCUUCGCUGGGCCGGGCGGGCCCGCGGCGCUCGUGCGUGUCCCGGAAGGCCCCGCGCAGGCCCCGCACCGCCACCGCCGGGCCAUGGCCGGGCUGUCCCGCACGCUCGGCAUCUUCGGCGCCUUCGUGGCCGUGGUGGGAGCCGCCUUUUACCCCAUUUAUUUCCGGCCGCUGCUGCUGCCGGAGGAGUACAAGAAAGAACAGUCAAUAAACCGAGCUGGUAUUGUUCAAGAGGAUAUUCAGCCUGCAGGGUUAAAAGUGUGGUCGAAUCCAUUUGGAAGAAAGUGAUUGGUGGCUGGGUGUAUUGCAAAACUGAAGAUGGACGCCUUCAGCUGCUGCUUCUUUCUCUGAAGUGUGUAUUUGAGUGUCACUGGAAGAGAAUUCUGAAUGUGCUGUGUGGUCACACAAGGAGCAACAAAGGCUACUGGUUGGAAUCCCAAGAGAUAAAACCAGACUAGUUUUGAGAGAGAAUGCUGAUGCAUAGCUCACAGCUAGUUAGAAAGCUGAAUGAUUAUUGAGUAUAGAAAGGAAAUACUUAUAUCCUUGAGAAAAGGGAAACGGAUUUGCUUCUAAUCUGUAGACACUUAUUGAGUAAAUUAUGGAUAGAAUAAAUCGUGCAGACUGCUGCAAUUUCCUCCCUAGUUUGAAAGUUACAACAUGGUGAGUGUAAAUUUGUACAUUAAAAUUUUUAAACCAAUGUGCACUAUUUUUCAUUGUUUUGCGAAUGUGUGUGGAAGGUACGUUGGCUGCCUGCCAGGUGUUCCCCUGGCCGUUCUUAAUCCUGCUCCUCCACAGGACAAGGGGAGUAAAUAGAAUGACAGAGCUUGUGGGUCUGGAUAAACACAAGGAGGUUUCUUACCAGUUAACUCUUGCAGGCAGGCAGACUCAACUUGGAGAAAAUGUAUGUAGUUAAGUAGGUAGAAUUAUGACACAUAACAUUUUAAAGAUCAUUGCAGAAUUCAAUAUGUUUUGAAAAGUGUACGCUCAGAGUUUUAUUCCUGAUAUUACCUGGUGUUUGUCAUCUUUUUGGAUGUCACACACUUUUAUUGGGACAACAGAUUAAAGACUCCAUGUUUACAGUUUUAUUUUCCAAACUGCCAUUCUGCUACUUGCUAUUCUAUUUCUACCUUUGUCAUUACUCUCCCACUCAGACACACCUCUCCUCCUCUGAGUUAGUUUUUAUUUAGUCUCCUGUUAUCACUCUAAGCAUUAGACUAUUUUCUGUUUGCUAACUGGGAAAAUGUAGCCGUGUUUGGUUCCAUUGAGUUCUCAGGUCAUUUUGCAUUGUAGUUGGAGCCAGUGAGUGUACUCAUUCAGUGUAGGUAUCAUAGAUUGGUUUGAGUUGGAAGGCACUAGUUCCAGCCCUGCUGCAAUGAUCUGGGACACAUUCCACUAGACCAGACUGCUCAGACCCCCAUUCAGCUUGACUAUGAGCACUUCAGGCAUCCACAGCUUCUCAGAGCUACCUGUUCCAGUGCCUCAUCACCCUCAUAGUGAAGAGCUGCUUCCUCAUAGCUCAUCUAAACCCACCCUCUUUCAGUCCGUAUUUGCACUGCACGGAACAGAGCAACACUGUCAAAAAGCUAAUUCAGUAUUUGCUGCAAAAAGUGUAGAGCUGAAAAGGGUUUUUUUAAUCAUUUAAACCUUUCUUCAGUGAGACUGCAGAAAUGAGGGAGCCUUGUUUUUUUUUUGUUUUCUUGAACAAAACAUUCAUGCAUCAGACCACUUCAAAGUUUUUUCAUCUGAAACACCUCCUCAGUGAAAAUAAAACAUUGCUGAAAUGCAGAUACUCCGUCUAUAACUGACUAGCUGCAAACCAAAGAGUUUUCAGAGAAUGGGAAUUUUUUUACAUGAUGCAGCUUCUGUCACCUGGUGACACAAAUGCUUAAAAAUCAUAUAUCAUGGAAGUGUGGAACCAUCAGUAUAAAGGAUGUGACAGAGAUUAGUUUGGGGUUAAGAGAUAAGACAAUCUCUUCUUGUUUGCUUUGUGAAGUUGAGCAAUUUGCUGAGUCUGGAUCUUGCCAAGAAAAAUGUUAGAUGGUUUCUGAACAGUGGCUGCUGGUGGCAAGUGCUGAGCCUUUUGCCUUCAUAUUACUUAAAUGUCGCAAAACAUUUGAUUUUGAAUCUGAACUCAGUUAUUUAGCAUUUACAGAACUAUACAUAUCUGUUAGUCAUGAACAUAAAUUCCUUCUGGUGUAGGAAAGCUCAGUAAGUUUUGUGAUUGCCAAUUUGUAUGGAAUCUAGAGCUCUUUUAUAUCAGUUGAAUACUACUGAAGUGACAGUGUACAUUGGUAUUAACGAGCAUCACUUCCCAUUCAUGUUCCACCUAAUAAAGUGGGCUGAUGGAGCAUGGCUUUAAAGCAUUAGAAUAGUGAAUGUGUUUUUCACAUUUUUGCUAUUCUGUCUGAGUAAAACUACAAAGUCAACAAGGUACGUACUGCAAUAAUUUUCCAGAAUUUACACUGAAAUUUUCUGAUUGCUCUGGCAUGUGCCACUUGCCUGGAGACUUGCCCAGUUCUUGUGUGGUAUGUUCUAGUCCUGCAGCUGACAUUGAGACAAUGCUUUGUUCUGCGUGUGGAUGCUUGACAUAAGCCUCUUAUUCCAGCUACCCAGUGACAAGUGAAGUUCAAUGUAGUGAACUGUGCUCUCCAGGACUCUUGUCUUACUCUAGAAGUAGGAGUUCUUCACUACUUUCAUAAUCUCCAGUUGCUGUUAAUUUGGUGAUUGGGAGGAACUAGGCCUGGGUUCUGCAGAGCAACUAGAUUUGCUAGUUUUGGUCAAGUUGCUCUGAUUGUUUUGAUAAAAAUGCUUUCUUAAAACAUUUUUAAAGCCAUUGUCUCUAUCCUGUUACAUGAAUGUGAUUUGCUUAUUUAUUAUAGCUGGAUUGUGAAUAGCAAAUAUACCUUCAGCCCUUGAAGGACUGAAGAAAAGUGUUAAACAAUUGUUUGACAUCCCAACAGAAACUGGUUGUACUAGGUUUUGGCCUACUAUAUGCUGAUGUUCUGAAAUUAUUAAAACUUGUUCCAUAAAGAGCAAAUCAAGCAUUUAGGUCUAAAUACAGCUUAGUUUUGAAGCACUGCAGAUUGUUGAUGAUCCAAUGAAACCUUCAAGUACAAACACUUAAGAAGGAGUUAAUAUAGCAAAAUACAUGGGCAAAUUGCCAGAUUAUACACAUGUGCAAGAAGGAACAAUUUCAAUAAAUGAGUAUAAUAUUCAGCAAGAAAAAUCCCUCAGGAUUUUGAAAAAAUCAAAUGGCAUUCUUCUUGCUGAAUAUUGUAAUUAUUUACUGAAAUUGUUCCAAAUGAUGAGAAGGGAUUUUUUUAUCUGUGAUGCUCAAAGCACAUCAAAUAGCCUCCAGUUACUGUGAAUUUUACUUUAUGUAUGCCCUCCUAUGAAAAAACAGCCCAGAAGAAGCAGUUCUCAUGAUUUGCUCUUUUCUAAACCAAAUUAAAGCAUGUGUUUUCCCUUCUUGCAGUCUAGCAAUAAUUAACUACUCAUUUUCUCUGUAUUGUGUACACUCCUACUGACCUUCAUGUUAACAUGCAGAUGCAGCAGUAAAUGAAAAGCUGUAUUGGCUUUUUCUGUUGUUCCACACAACCCAAAAAAGUAUGUUUGUUAGUGGAAGGAAAUUAUUCUCCAGCUUCUGAGAAAGUGCUGUGGAAUAUACACUGUUUCUAUGUGGACAACGUACAGCAGAUGAGAGCAAAACGCAAAGUUCAGGUCAAAGCUUAGGUCGGACCUGUGAUCCGAGGUCUCUUUCUCCAUAGUGCAGACUGUGUGGGCCUUGCAAGAAAAAUGGUGCAGUGUUUAAGACACUGUCUUGGAAAAUAGGACUGUUGUAGUCAAUUCCAUAUUCUACCCCGCUUUUGUCUGGCAGCAGGUCAUUGGGUGCCUUUCUCUUAGAAAGGCUCCUGACAAGGCAGGCAUGACAACCAGAUAAUGAAUGCUUUGAAGAACAUAAGAAGUUUCACUUUGCUUCAAUCCUUUGGGAUCACAGAAGAGAUACAGAUAAAGCAAGCUGCUAAGGAUUCAGACCAACUUGAUGGAAAUAUACCUUUGGCAGAUGACAGCAGGAUUUCAUGAGUGAUUGCUAUCUCAAGGUGACUGCCCCUUCUCCACAGCCAGCAAGUAGCAUUUUAAAAGAAGGAUGUCAGAGAGCAGCUUGGUUUUCUCAGUUGUCAUCAUUAUUUGUUUCUCUCCUGGCCAAACCACCAGAAGCAGGUUAAGGAUGACACAAACUAGCAACAAAUCACAGGGUGGAGGACAGAGCAUGUGACAAUGCCCUGGCUAUGGUGCAAACAUUUGAGCUACGUUUCGAAAGCCUGGAUUUGUGUUCAGCAGAGUUCAUGAGUGAAAAAUAAAAGUCUCUGACGGUAACAAUCAACAACCUCAAUCUCAUUAGUGUCUACUCUUCAGAGAAGAGGCUGGAGUGGAUCCCAUCAAGCUGUAAUUUGGUUCAGUGCACUGAGGAAGGUUCCUAGAAGCAUUACCCCAGCUUCUUUACACUGUGCACUGAAGGGAAAAAAAAACAACAUUUGGCAAUUUGUUGUCAAUAUUUGUAUAACUCCUGAUGCCACUAAAACUGCAUAUGUAGGCUUUAAACUAACAAAAACAAAGCCGUGGCCAAGCUGGAGAGCUGGAUUUGUUUCCAUGCACAAUUAGGUUUAUUUGUUUAGGUCUCAUUUUAUUUGCUUUCAGAUGACUCAGAUAGGAGUAUUGCAAUCCUUUCAAAGUGAAGUAGUGUUCUGUGUAUUUUGGGCAUUGGGCUUGGCCAAAUGUGGAAAGAAUUGGCUGCUCAGUGGUAUUUUCCUAUCCAGAGGUUUUUUCAGACUUUUGAGAGGAACUGAAGGAAUGUCCCUUCCAUGCCAGGCUUCCCCCCCGCUUUCCCUUCACAGCGUCUCUCUGCAUUAUUGUUAAAGAGCACAGGAAUUUUAAAACACUUCUCUAUUGUGCAACUGUUAGCAACUGCGCUUAUUAAUUGCUUUACCAUUAUGCUGCAUGUUUAAAUUCUUGCUGGUGUCAUCCACUACAUGCUGCUGUGAGUGUCUUUUAACCCAUUCCAAUGGAAUAUAUCAGUGGGGCCUUGCUCAGGAUCUCCCAUCCUGCUAGGCCAGCUCUGGGUUUGCUGAAAAUGAUUUCCUGCAUACAUGAAGGGAUAUGUACAUUUUGGCAAGUAGCCAAAUUUUCUGUUGGGAAUUAGUCACUAAGGGCAGAUUAUUUUCCAGUGGACAUGCUGGCACGCUAUCAGUGUUAAGAGAAUUGUCUUCAUCUUAGCACAAUGAUGUUUCUUUUAUCCCCCAGUCCCUCAGAAAACCAAAAAAACCAAAAAUACCAGGGUUUUUUUGUCUGUUCUGUCUUAUAUGCAUAGGAGGCAAUGGCCUUUAAUAAGUGCUUUAGUCACCACUGUAUUUUUGGAGGGAUUUUUUUCCUUUGUUUUCUUCUGAUAAUUUUGCUUCUAGAAAUACUAGCUCAGAUGAUGUUUAAAAUGGAGACAAUAUGAAUAGAUCCACAUUUAUUUCUAUUUCUAUGAAACAUAAAGGAUUUCCUGCACUCACCAGAAGUAUGCAUUUGAUUUAUAGCCUUCCUUAAUGUUCUUCCUACUCACACUCGUAAAAGAAAUACAGUAACAAAGGCUAAUAGAUGAUCUAUUUCAAAGUUUGCCCUGAUAAAACCAAACUGGAACUUUAUUCAGUCUUAAAUGUCAAUUCUACAAUUUGGGAUGUUUUUCUAAUCAAGAAUAAUAAAUGUGGAAAGUGUCUCAGUGGAAUGGAGCCGCGGCUCAGCACGCUGCUGGCCCAGUGCUGCACACACAGAUGGGGUCUGCACAUCACAGAGUCCUCCCCAUGCAAUCACUUGCCCUGCAAGACUGCUUGACCCUGGGAGGGACUGAACAAUGCUUAUGAUAUGGGAUUUGUUGGGGUUUUGUUGGUGGUUUUUUUGGGUUUUUUUUAGUUUUUUAGAUGAUAGGGACCCAAAAUAUAUCUAUGACAAAUUACCACAUUGAGGAAGAAUGUAAAUCUUCAGCUAUGAUAAGGAGGAAGGAAAUAAAAUUUCCAAGCCUGUGUUAAAAAAAACAAAAACCAGAAGAAAUAAUAAGGUGGGCAAACUGGAUUGUGCCUAGAGAUCUGUUCCAUAUGCCACUUUGUUUCCCUCCCUCUAGCUGUGGAGAACUGAGACUGUCAGAAUAGAUCAAACCCAUUUAGUGGCCUUACUUACAUGGUAUCGCUUUGUAACACCUUCAGGGCAUUUCAGCAUUGUGCCUGGGAAGCUGUCAGACAACACAGUCCGGUGUGCUGGCUGCAGCUCUCCUGCCCUUUCCCCACACACACUGUUUUGCUGUGUGCAGUUCUUCAAGUCUAAUCCAAGGCUGCACGAGACUGUGGGUUUCACUGGAAUCUGAGAGAGGAGGCUGGAUCAGGACCUGUCAGAAACUGUAUUCUAUGGGCUAUUGUUAAAUAAGUAAUUUGAUUAUCUAAGUAUGCUUUUUGAUGCAGGACACUGAAUUAGUUUGACUUCUAUUGCCUAGCAAAUAUACAAUUAGUUUUUAUACACGGAAAAUGUGUAACCAUUCCAGAUACAUAUCCCUCACGUGCAUAGGAAAAUAUAGAGAUGGUACUCUGUAUUAUAGGUCCCUCAUCCCAUAAGAGACUUCCUAUAUUAAAGUGAUUUUUAGUGUUUGGGCUCCCUUAGUUGCCAUGUACAAUUAAGUGGUAAGACAGAGACUUUUUUGGCAAGUUAUAUGUGUCUUUUGCAUUUUUGCUUACAACACACAGUGAGCUACAGCCAGGCAGGUUGUGAUUUCAAUCUUAAGUGGUUUCACCCCUUCCUUCCUGCAGAUGUCUAGUUGUGUGUAGGCAGAUACUUGCUGAUGCCUGGCUAGUAAUUCAAGUAUUGAGACUUGUGGUCUUACCACCACUUCCUGAUACGCUUUACAGGUAAGCCUGAAAGAGGAAAGAGACUCUGGGGAGGAAAAUUAGAAGAAAAGAAGUUAAAGAUUUAAAGCACUAGCCUUGAAGCUACAAGGUAGUCAGGACAUGGAAGGAAUCACAGAGAGCAGACUGUACUUCCUCUUCCAUGUGUUGAGGGACCCAAACAGUUUAAGAAUAGUAAAAACUUAUGUCUGUGCCAAGCACAAGUAAGAUAAUGCACAUGUUAAUCCCAUGUUAUCCUAUCCCUCUCUUCCCUAAGACAGAACAAAGUAAGUCUGUAUCUAAAAGCCUGCUCCUUUUUAACUUCAGGGUAAAGUAAAAUACCUCACCCUAAAACAUCUCUGGGGGGGUGUAAGUAAAUCAUAGUCCAGACAAGACAUUCAUGCUUUUCAUCUGUUGAGAAGUAUUACAUCUUAGCUGAGGGUGGGAAGGAGGUGGCUAUCAGCCAUGAAGGAGUAAUUUAAAUCACCUGAACAUUAAACAUAUCCUAAUCACUAAUGACAGUACCAAAUGCUGGGAAACAUGAGGAGAAAGAAGGGUGGCAUUAGAUGAACCACCAAUGAAGCUUUGAGAUCUGAGCAUGGCAGAAUCUAGGAAGGCUCCAAAGGCUCAGAGGAUACUUUGGCUGGUAUCCUCUGAAACGGGAUUUUUUCUCCAUACCUGAGGCUUGGUAAACGUAUUCGGAUUUAAUCUAAUAAAAGAGAGGAUAAACUGUGGUCUGCUUUGAUCUACAGAUGCUACUUGUCAAAAAACACUUUUCUCCCCACUAAUGCAGCUCAAGCUGUCACUGAAAAAUCAGUUAUUUUGAUAACCCAGCUUUUGUGUGAUAUUUCACUUUCCACUGAUAGUCUUUAUUACCUUAACCUGUUCAUUUCAAACAGGACCUUCAUUCUUCCAUGAUUAAUAACCUUAUCACAGUGAUACAUGUUCAUUUCCUCAUUGCUGGAUUUCAUAAUGUUGAAUUUCCCAUUUGUGAACUUCAUCAAAGUGAAAAAUACCAGGGAUCUUCAUUCCAGAAAAUUUUUGUAUGUUGCUUUUUUUAUUGUUACUUCCUUUUACUAUAUCUAUAGCUGUGUGGUCACUCACUAGCACAUAGGAGCUUCCUCUGUAUGUGCUCUCAGCUAUGCCUGUAAUUAGCAGGUUGCAAAGCCCAACUCAUAAACUUGCAGCUGUGACUUAACACUUCUCUAAAAGGGCCACGUAGCUUCCAGCUGGCCCUGAGUGCUGAAACAUCUGUCUGCAAUGGACCUUAUAAUAAAUCCUGUGAGUCAGUGUGGUGGCUUCCUAGACAGACGAGUGCUGGUGUGCAGUUCAGUAGCCUAUUUAUGCCAAGAUGGCAUGGGCUUGAGUUAGGAGACCAGUGGAGCUAAAGGUCAUGUAGGUAGGUGGAGCAAACAAAGUAGUAUAUGCAGAACUGAACAGUAACACACAAGUGAAGGUAAAACUGCAGGUUGUGAGAUCAUAGGAUUGCAGCUUGAGACAAACCUACAGAUACGAAUGAGGAGAAAAUGGCACUGUGUAGGAGAGGAAAUCCUUUUCUAACUUGUCCAAACUUACAUGCAAAGCAGAAUUGCUGAAGACUGAUUCAUGGUAUUUGCCCUUUCUUCUCUCUACUAUCACUCAAAAAAGUUUGUGUAGGGAACUAAACCACUGUGAAAGUACCUAUUAUGCCAUUAUGAUGUCUGCUAGCUAUGUGAAGAAAAGUCAGUGUGCCAGAGAGCAUCACAGGUCUGUGGUAUAAAACAAGCUAGUAUGAGUGGGUGAAUGUGGGGGAUAUGAUACUCCAUGACAAUAUUUGACCAUGCAUGACCAAGCUCUCACUUCCAUGUGAAGGGAAGAAACCUCUGUGUUUGUACGUCAAGACAAAAAUCCAUCUUUUCACCCUGCUUUCAUUCACCUCUUGUUAAGCUUUAUGACUAAGAGUCUGUUGUGCCUCGUGCUUUGUUUCUUCUGCCCAAGCAUGCUACUGAGGAGCCAUACAGGGUCUGCACAGUGCAGCCAGAAGCUGUAGUGUUCCUUGGGAGUGGGUGCUGUGUCUCUUGCUUGCUCUGUGCAAAUACUAUCUAAGCGCAAUCUUGCACCUUGUUUAAAUGCCUGUGUGCUUGUUAAGGGCACACCUUUCCAGAGGAUCAUGUGUGACAGUUUUUUGUUGCUCUUGGGAGUCAGACAUUCUCUCACUGUCUCAAGGGGACAGUGAUCCCAAGAAGGGGUAGUUCCCAAACUGAAACUUUGCUGCAGGGUUUCCACGGGGAUGACAUCUGCUGAUUUCAUGCAGGGGUGCUGGCCCAGGCACCAUGGACCAUAACCACUGGAAUGGCCAUUUUCAGCAAUCCUAGUUAACCAGACACUCUGAAAUAUCCAAGAAGUUUCCAGCUAAAAGAAAAACUGAGCUGUUUGCAAUGAAAUGUACCCCUUGCAUAGUAAUGGCUGCAUGUAAGGACAUUCUCAGAAAUAAAUGAAAGCCAUGCUGGUAGCUGUCGGCGCUUUACCGCAGCUCCAAGAGCUCUUUCUGUUUUCCUCCCCUAAAAUGGUGCCAGGAUGCUUUUGUUGCCUGACGGGCUGCUGGCAGGAGCCCCCGUUUCGGACAGUGCUGAUGGUGGUGUUGCUUACUGCUGGCGAGCCCGGCAGCCAGGCUCUGUCUCACCGCCCCUGCCAGGAGCAGGCGGCCUGGGGGGCACCAGCCCUGGGCACCAGGCACUCCCAGGGACAGGCUGAGGCUGGACCAGGACAUGGUGCCUGUGGCUUGGCAGGGCUGGGGGGAGCUGGAGACUGGUCCUGCUGCGGUGCCGCUGGGGCAGAGAGCAGUGACCCCAGGGAAUAAUGAAAUGGGGUCCUGGACAGGGUGAAAUGUGGGAGCCCUGGGGGUGGCAAUGCCCUCAGGGCCGCUUUGGCUCUCCAGCUCCAGCCUGUGCAGGGGUCUCGCUGGCAGCUGCAGUCUGGCUGUGGGCCUGGGGACCGACACACCUGCCUGCUCAGGCCUCCCCGAGGGCCUUCUCUGGGUCAUAAACCUGGAAUUUAAUUGAAUACUGGAUUGUAAUGAUUCUGCCAGAAGAGGGUGACUGCUGGAGUCUGGCUGUGUUCCUGGACAGCUAGAGAUGCUUCAGGAAUGCUGAUGUCCCUUGGGUGCAGCCAGACAAAAUUAUCAUCUGGCCAGGCAGCAAACAGAGCCAUUUCUUAAAGGUGAGUGCAAAUCCUCAGCAUCAGCCUGGCCUUGUGGAUUAUCAAAAUGCUUGUGGUAGUUUGAAUUGAGGUCUCCUUGCAAACCCAGACUGAGUUUGCCCCUCAGCAGAGCACAUUUAAAUGGAAAACCAAGGAGAAUGUCAAGCACCCAGUAUGUGAAAAGUGAUCUCACAUAGAGCUAAACAUCUGUAGACAGGUAAAAGGAUCCUAAUGUUAGGUAAGUAGGACCUGAGAAUAACCUGCUGCUUAACAACUGCUAAGGAAAAGAUGGCAGGAUGGGAGAGGCCUCAAUCUGUUUCAGAGGCCUGACUUUCACCUCUGUGCUCAUGGAAGUAUUCUUCAUUUGUGCAAUAUUUUUCACCCAAGAAACAAUGCUGUUAAAGAUGAAAUGAUACUGCUGAUGAACUAUUUGGUGUUAGCUUUCCAGUCAGAAAAGUGAAAGGGUGAUGCAUUUGUCAUACUGAAAUGAUGUCACUUUGGGAAGGGAAUAAUGUUUUUGUACUAUGAGAUAAUUAAUGUCUUCUAUCCCUGAGGGUUUGAUUAAACUAUCAAGUACCAAGUGACAUCUUUGUCAUAUGACACUUCUUUGGAAACUGUAAAUGCCAGAACAGCAUUUCAGUGUAUACUUUGGCUAAUGUGGAGCCACUGCUCCUCCCCAGGGCUGAAUUUGUCAUGACUCCUGGGCAGUGAGGAAUCUUUGGUCUCUUGAAAUAGGUUAUUUCCUUUUUUGGAGAGAACUAAGAAGAAUAAAGCAAGGGAUUAAUAAAUUUUUAGGUAGAAUUCCUGCAGCAAGGAAUUGUGAUCAGUAUGAAAAAGCAAUAGUACCGAGAUCUUGGGCUGUGUUGCUCUGGAGAAAUACUUUGUAUUUCACAAUAGUCACAAGGGGAGAUACUGUUAAUAUUAUUUUUCUGUAGAUGUUUAAAAUACAGUUAACUAACGCUGGCACCAGUAAAGUUACUUGUAUCGAAAGCAUUUCACUGAUAAAAUGUGAGGAACGCCCAUCUAAGACCAAAGAGGUAAAGAAAAGUGAACAAAAAGGAGAAGGAUAUAGAGAUGACAGAAAUAAAAAAUGACACAAAUACGAGACAAAGUAAUUGUUAGGAAAUUAAUCUAGGAAUUACCCCAACACACUGGAAAUCUGUGGGCCCUGGUGGUCUGGUAAAUUACACUGUCCUAGCUGCUACCACUUCACUUUUAAAAUGUAAAAUCUGUCCUGAUCCUCACAUGUCUUCAGCCAUUUGAACUUCAGCUCAAAUUCUUGCAAGUGCUGUGCAAGAAAAAUUCAUGCACACCAGAUCCAAAAGCAGUGAAUAGAGCAGGUAAAAAAAUAGCUACUUAAAACUAAUUCUUAAAGUCCUGUUGCAAUUCCAUCAUGGGGCUUGACAUUAAAUGAAUGUUCAUAUAAAAAUAAGGGGAAAAUAUUUGGUUUUGUAUUCUUCUUUCUUUCUUUCUUUUUUAAGAAAAUGUACCAUAAAAUUUUAUAAUGUCCAGUUAUCAUCACAUACAAAGAGCUAAUUUCCUGUUCUAUAACUUCAUGGCUGUCAAGAGCACCACAGUCAUGAUGUUUUGUUGCUCCCUAGGUUUCCCAAUUGGAAGGAAGUUUGUUGAGUAAGUUAAACAAUAGACAUGAAAAAAGUAAAGGAAGGAACAUCCCCAUAACUCUACUAAAUUUCUUAAAUUCUAUAGCAGGAUGAAAUGAGCAAAAACCCAAAUGAAAUUCAGCUUGAAAUCUUUUGUUGGAUUUUGUUUUAAACCUUUCUGUGAAAAGAUUCAAGAGACAUUUUAGCUCAAUCCCUAAACUUAUUUUGGAUGAACCUCAGUUUUGAAGAUCCAGACAUUUUACUGGCAGUAAUGUUGGGCUGGUGUUAGAAGGCUUCACUCUUGUAUUCCUCAGAUUAUUUCAUUCACCUAUGUCAGCCAAAAUGCCCAUGAAACAAUUUGGGCAUUCAGGACUGAAAUGGGAAGAUUUUGAAUUGUUGCCCCAUCAUUCAGAAACUGAAGUUCAGGAUAUAUUUCCUUCUUUUUCACACGCAGCAGUAGAAACGGUCUCCAGUUUCAGUGAUCUUGAAUAAAAAUUAUUUUGCCAUCACAAUGUGGAAAGCAGAGAAAAUGUGAAGCAAAAGGUGUUGAGUCCAAACACAUAGUUAACUGACCAAGCUACUAGAAAACUCUCCCUAAGAAUCUCAGAUACAUUUAAGUGUUUUAUUAAAGAAUUAUGUAACUUGA